rnacentral:rRNA from 1 species
AGCAGUGGGGAAUAUUGCACAAUGGGGGAAACCCUGAUGCAGCCAUGCCGCGUGUGUGAAGAAGGCCUUCGGGUUGUAAAGCACUUUCAGUAGGGAGGAAGGUAGUGUAGUUAACACCCUGCACUAUUUGACGUUACCUACAGAAGAAGCACCGGCUAACUCCGUGCCAGCAGCCGCGGUAAUACGGAGGGUGCGAGCGUUAAUCGGAAUUACUGGGCGUAAAGCGCAUGCAGGCGGCCUGUUAAGUCAGAUGUGAAAGCCCGGGGCUUAACCUCGGAAUUGCAUUUGAAACUGGCAGGCUAGAGUCUUGUAGAGGGGGUAGAAUUUCAGGUGUAGCGGUGAAAUGCGUAGAGAUCUGAAGGAAUACCAGUGGCGAAGGCGGCCCCCUGGACAAAGACUGACGCUCAGAUGCGAAAGCGUGGGGAGCAAACAGGAUUAGAUACCCUGGUAG